rnacentral:rRNA from 1 species
UACAGAGGGUGCGAGCGUUAAUCGGAAUUACUGGGCGUAAAGCGCGCGUAGGCGGCUUUGCAAGUCGGGUGUGAAAUCCCCAGGCUCAACCUGGGAACUGCAUUCGAGACUGCAUUGCUAGAGUAUGGGAGAGGGAAGUGGAAUUUCCGGUGUAGCGGUGAAAUGCGUAGAUAUCGGAAGGAACAUCAGUGGCGAAAGCGACUUCCUGGACCAAUACUGACGCUCAUGUGCGAAAGCUAGGGGAGCGAACGGG